ACUUUCUUAAUAUAAUUAAUAUGUAUGACUUCCAAUCAUUUUAUCUUGGUGAAACUCCGAGAGAAAGUA
rnacentral:tRNA from 1 species